rnacentral:rRNA from 1 species
AUUCCAGCUCCAAUAGCGUAUAUUAAAGUUGUUGCAGUUAAAACGCUCGUAGUCGGAUUUCGGGGCCUGCCUGCCGGUCUGCCGAUGGGUAUGCACUGGCAGGCGCGUCCUUCCUUCCGGAGUCUGUCCCUACUCUUAACUGAGCGGGGUCGGGAGACGGAUCGUUUACUUUGAAAAAAUCAGAGUGUUUCAAGCAGGCAGCUCGCUCUUGCAUGGAUUAGCAUGGGAUAAUGAAAUAGGACUUUGGUGCUAUUUUGUUGGUUUCGAACACCGAAGUAAUGAUUAACAGGGACAGUCAGGGGCACUCGUAUUCCGCCGAGAGAGGUGAAAUUCUCAGACCAGCGGAAGACGAACCACUGCGAAAGCAUUUGCCAGGGAUGUUUUCAUCG